GAAGACACAUCACCAACGAAUAUACUUAAUUAUUAUAAUGUUCUUUGUUAGUACUGUAAAUUAAGUGAUCUCGUUUUUCUUUCACACACAUCCACCUUUAAUAAUAAUAAUACAAGCAUAAACCAGGAUUGAUUGCAGAACACAUCUACAGUUUAAUAGUUCACAGUUUGUCAGUUUACGAAUGGUUUACAAGAGGUUCCGGCUGAUACAAUAUCGACGUUACUUCAAAGUAUAAUACGUAUAUAGUUUGGAGUUGAGUGAAAUAGUGUAUAAUUUUACAUUAUUAAA